UUGGAAGAAGGUAUAGCCUUGAUCAAUUUAGUCAUUGAUGUCCAACAAACAGUGUCCUAGAGAUUCUGGUUUGGAUCCAGCAAACUGUACACUGAUACCUAUCCCGGAUGCUAAAACUGCCACCUGCACAGCUAUGGUUACAUUUGAACGUGGCCAGGGUCCAACCGUUCAACUACAGUGCAGGAACACUAACAUAACAACGCCAAUGCCAACAUCUAUUCCAACUGCAGCAUCAUCACAGUCGACACCAACAUCCUCAACUCCAACAACCACAUCAACAACAACAACAACAACCAAAUCACCACUAUGCUCUUCCCCAGAAAGCAGUGAAUCUUCAUCAGAAAGCAGUGAACCUUCAUUGGAAUGCUGCAGAAAGAGAUAUGGCAGAGGUCGAAGAUACAGAAAUUGCAGGAGGAGAUGGUAUUGGAGGCAUUGGUGGAGACAUCGCUGGGGCAGAAGAAGACGUAGAGGGUGGAAUCAUAACAGGUAUAAGAGAGGAAACUAUGAUUAUCAUAUGCUGGAAGAACCACACUUAUAACUCAGAAGACUGAAAGAACUGGAGAGAGUAAGACGAAGACUUAAUUAAUUUACAGAUUUAUGAAGAAAACUGAAGAAUAGAAGGAAUCAUCAGAGCAAAGGAAAUUGACUGGCAGGAAGAAUGUUCCGCACGCAUGAGAAUGUUCAAUUUUAAAACAUUGUUUCACAUUUAAUUAGAAGUAGCUUAUGUUUGUAGUUCAUUAUGUUGAUUUGCAUUGUAUGAUCACCAAUCAUCAAUGUACCAAUCGGUUAAUAAUAAUUUAAUUAAUUUUUAAUUAAUAAUAAUUUAAUUAAUAAUUAAUUAAAUCAUAUGUUAUAUUCCACAUAAGAGAUCAAUGUGAAGUUGAUGUGAAUAAACUGAAUAUUGAGUUUUAUAUUUCUGGGACCCUUUAAGCUCUGCAAAACAGUUUGAGAAAUGACCAACACAUAUUGUAUCUAAUGCUUUAAAAAAUAAAACUGUUCAGCAGUCUGAUGCAUUAACUGCUUUGUUCCAUACAAAUUAAACCUUUAAUUGCACAA